GACAGAGGUGCCAAGCGUUAGGCGGAAUCACUGGGCUUAAAGCGUAUGUAGGUGGACGGCUAAGUGCCUUGUGAAAUCCCCCGGCUCAACCGGGGAACCGCUGGGCAGACUGGUCGUCUUGAGCUGCCUAGGGGCAACUGGAACGAACGGUGGAGCGGUGAAAUGCGUAGAUAUCGUUCGGAACGCCAACGGUGAAAACAGGUUGCUGGGGGCAUGCUGACACUGAGACACGAAAGCCAGGGGAGCAAACAGG
rnacentral:rRNA from 1 species